rnacentral:rRNA from 1 species
UACGUAGGGUGCAAGCGUUAAUCGGAAUUACUGGGCGUAAAGCGUGCGCAGGCGGCUUUGCAAGACAGAUGUGAAAUCCCCGGGCUCAACCUGGGAACUGCAUUUGUGGCUGCAAGGCUGGAGUACGGUAGAGGGGGAUGGAAUUCCGCGUGUAGCAGUGAAAUGCGUAGAUAUGCGGAGGAACACCGAUGGCGAAGGCAAUCCCCUGGACCUGUACUGACGCUCAUGCACGAAAGCGUGGGGAGCAAACAGG